AACUCCGUGCCAGCAGCCGCGGUAAUACGGAGGAUGCAAGCGUUAUCCGGAUUCACUGGGUUUAAAGGGUGCGCAGGCGGACAUUUAAGUCAGGGGUGAAAUCCUACAGCUUAACUGUAGAACUGCCCUUGAUACUGAAUGCCUAGAGUAAAGCUGAAGUGGGCGGAAUGUGUUGUGUAGCGGUGAAAUGCUUAGAUAUAACACAGAACACCAAUCGCGAAGGCAGCUCACUAAACUUUAACUGACGCUCAUGCACGAAAGCGUGGGGAGCAAACAGGAUUAGAUACCCUGGUAGUCCACGCCCUAAACGAUGAUCACUCGCUGUUGGCGAUAUAUUGUCAGUGGCUAAGCAAAAGUGAUAAGUGAUCCACCUGGGGAGUACGACCGCAAGGUUGAAACUCAAAGGAAUUGACGGGGGCCCGCACAAGCGGAGGAGCAUGUGGUUUAAUUCGAUGAUACGCGAGGAACCUUACCAGGGCUCGAACGCAGGAGGAAUACUCCCGAAAGGAAGUAGCCAGAAAUGGCCGCCUGCGAGGUGCUGCAUGGUUGUCGUCAGCUCGUGCCGUGAGGUGUCAGGUUAAGUCCUAUAACGAGCGCAACCCCUAUUCAUAGUUGCCAGCAUAUUACGGUGGGGACUCUAUGAAAACUGCCUGCGCAAGCAGUGAGGAAGGUGGGGAUGACGUCAAAUCAGCACGGCCCUUAUGUCCUGGGCUACACACGUGCUACAAUGGCCGGUACAGAAGGCCGCAACCACGCAAGUGGAAGCUAAUCCCUAAAACCGGUCUCAGUUCGGAUUGGAGUCUGCAACCCGACUCCAUGAAGCCGGAUUCGCUAGUAAUCGCACAUCAGCCAUGGCGCGGUGAAUACGUUCCCGGGCCUUGUACACACCGCCCGUCAAGCCAUGGAAG
rnacentral:rRNA from 1 species